UCCUCUCUAAUUGGUUUACCUUUUCAGUGACCGAAACCCUCGCUGCCUUUUUGUAUUGUUCAUAGCCAUUGCAAAACCCUCCCCCUCAAAAUGUCACACCAGCAAAUUCGAUUUCCCAAGUUCUCACACCUAAUCUAAACCCUCACACUCACUGCCAUCGCAAAACCCCCAUCAAAUCCUACAACCAACAAAUUCAAUUUCACAACCUUUCACGCCUAAUCUAAACCCUCGCGACUUCACUAUCAAGUGUUGAAGGUAUGGAUUGAACUCUGAAUCUUCCUGCAUCACCGGUCUCCGCAACGUUUUCCAAAUUGAAGGCACGAAGCCAGGACAGAGUUUUCGUCUGCACCAAUAAGUAAAAGAUUCAAUAUUUUCACUCUGGAGACUCUGGAUACCAUAUGUGUAGCCAUUAAAGGGUUCAUAAACGGGCAGAGCACUUUCGAAAACGGGAUUCCAUCUGAGGAAGAGAACACCAAUUGUGGUGACGAUGGAGAAUCCCUUCUUUGCGGUGGAAAUUGACGGUCCAUGUGCAGCAUUCAGCCCAGUUUAUAAGGGACAAUGACAUGGGGAAUUGUUUAAUUUUAUCAAGUUUUGUACUGAGGUAACACUCUCCCCAUUUAACAUGGUUUAAAAUGCUGAUUAGUAUAUGUAUAAAUAGUAUUGUGAGUAUGGUUGUAUAUAUGUAGUAGUAGAAUUGAAAACAUUUUUUGUAAUUAUGUGUAACUAGAGUUGUAAACCCGCGGCAUCGCGCGCGGGCUUUUUGGCUUGUGAAUCCUGUCACAAAAUAAAAAAAAUAUACACUCAAUUGAGGGACA